UGUCUUGACCAAAUUACGUGCCGCAGUCGCGGUAAUACRUAGAAGACUAGUGUUAUUCAUGUGUAAUCGGUUUAAAGGGUACCUAGACGGUAAAUCAAGCCUAUAAAAAAUAUAAAGGAAGGGACUAAUUUACUAGAGUUACUUAUGAGGGGGUAUUAAAGUACUACUGGUGUAGAGAUGAAAUUCUGUCAUACCAGCAAAACGACGGCACAGGUAUAGGCGAAAGCAUCCCCUUAUGUGAUAACUGACGUUGAGGGACGAAGGCUUUGUGUAGCGACCAGGAUUAGAUACCCCAGUAGUCAAAGCAGAAAAUGAUGAAUGUCAUAGAUUAGAUAUAUAAGUUUAUUCUAUAAAUGAAAGUGUAAGCAUUCCACCUCAAGAGUAAUUUGGCAACAUUGGAACUGAAAUCAUUAGACCGUUUCUGAAACCAGUAGUGAAGUAUGUUGUUUAAUUUGAUGGCCCGCAAAAAACCUUACCACAAUUUGAAUAUUUAUAUCUUUUAUUGUUUUUCUUCUGAUUUUUCUUCUGAUUUUACUUCUGAUUUUACUUCAAAUGAAGUAAAAGAAAGAAGUAAAAGAAAGAAGAAAAAUAAAAAGAGGCAAUAAGAUAUAUUUACAAGCGUUGCACGGCUGUCUUCAGUUAAUGUCGCGAGACUCUGGUUAGUUCCAUAAAAUUAACGUAAACCCUUACUUUAUUUUUAUAUAGAGUAGUUCCCCGCUAUAUUGGAUAUGAUAACAGGGACUAAGACAAGUCAUCAUGGCCUAAAUAUUGUG
rnacentral:rRNA from 1 species